GACGAACGCUGGCGGCGUGCUUAACACAUGCAAGUCGAACGGAAAGGCCCUGCUUUUGUGGGGUGCUCGAGUGGCGAACGGGUGAGUAACACGUGAGUAACCUGCCCUUGACUUUGGGAUAACUUCAGGAAACUGGGGCUAAUACCGGAUAGGAGCUCCUGCUGCAUGGUGGGGGUUGGAAAGUUUCGGCGGUUGGGGAUGGACUCGCGGCUUAUCAGCUUGUUGGUGGGGUAGUGGCUUACCAAGGCUUUGACGGGUAGCCGGCCUGGGAGGGUGACCGGCCCCAUGGGGAAGGAGAUACGGCCCAGGCUCCUACGGGGGGCAGCAGGGGGGAAUAUUGCAAAAGGGGCGGAAGCCUGAUGCAGCAACGCCGCGUGGGGGAGGACGGCCUUGGGGUUGGAAACCGCUUUCGCCUGUGACGAAGCGGGAGGGACGGUAAUGGGUAAAGAAGCACCGGCUAACUACUU
rnacentral:rRNA from 1 species